GGACGCCGGAGGUCCGCGGCCGCGGGGUCGUGCGCAAGCGGGGAAGGGGCCGAACGGAUCCCAAUCUCCGGGAGGCGUGGCUUCCGCUGCCCGCCCGCCCCCGCCGUCGCCAUGACGACGCGUGUCCCGGCGCCACCCCACCGCGGGGUCUGUGACGCCACGGUCUCGCCAUCUGACGUCAUGGCGGGUGGUGCCGCGGGGCGUGGUUUGCGUGGGCGCGGUGGUCGGUGUGGUUCCGAGGGUCUUGCUGCGCCGAGCGAGCCUCGCCUGAGGGGCCCGCUGCGGCGCGGAGUGCCGCGUGUGCACACAGGACGGUGGUUACCGCGGCGGGGGCUUCCCGCCGUGCUGAGCCGUGGUCACGCUGACCAGGAGGAGUGGCGGGUGUCAGCCCUGGCGUGACCCGCGGCCCGGCCUGCAGCGGUGACCCGGCGCCGCUGUCCAGUGCCAAGCGCAGGCCGCGCGCGCGGCGGGCGUGCCGUUGGGGUAGUUGCCGAAGUGCCCUCUCCUGCAUUGUCUGCCUGCCUUCCGCCCCGAGGAAGGAACUGGGGAGGGUCCCGGGCCCCCUCAGUGCCGCACCCCAGGAGGAGCCCUGGAAGCAGGGAUACCGGGCUUCCAGAAAUGGUUCCUGGUAUUCCCAUGUCCCCCACUGCCUCCCGGGUGGGCGCCGUUUUGAGGUUGGAGGACACGUACCCAUUCAGAUAGGUACUCGGUGCCUGCCAGUGCUCUGAGGAUAGAAUGGCCAGCUAGUCUCUUGGCAGCAUGGCCCAGGGAAGGGGGAAGCACAAGAAAUAAAUGGACACGGUGGUUUCAGAUGUUUAAAACGGUGUGUGGAAGGGCACCCUGGGGUAGGAUAGCACCUUGGGCCAAAUGACCAGAGCAAGCCAGACUCUAAAGGCUAAAUGUAAUCAGAAGGGUUCUCCUGCAGGUCUGUGGCCACUUAGAACUGCCCGAUGGGAAGGUAGAAUGGCAGUGUUCUGGGGGCCAGCCCUGGGAGGUGUAGGUAGCAGGUGUGUUCUGCAGCAUUCAAGCACUCAACCGCAACAUGGGUGCCUCCUCCGGGGGCAUUUGCACCUUGAACCUCAGCUCUGGCCAUGUUCCUGCAAGAGUGACCAUGCAGCUGGAAGAAUGCAGGACACAGGCCAGGCUGGGGCUGUACCAGGUUGGGACCAUGUGACUCAGGACCAGUCACUUACCCUCUAAGUCCUCUGCAUUUUUGUAAACCGAGGAUAGCCCAGGGGUACAUCAUAGGAAUACACAAAUUAGUGAAUGAACAACUGUUAGCAUAGGACCAGAAAAUGUAUUUCUUUUUUUUUAAUUUUUUAAUAUUUAUUUUUCAGUUUUCGGUGGACACAACAUCUUUAUUUUAUUUUUAUAUGGUGCUGAGGAUCGAACCCAGCGCCCCACACAUGCCAGGUGAGUGCACUACCGCUUGAGCCACAUCCCCAGCCCAGAAAAUAUAUUUCUAAUCGUGGGAUAUUUGAAAAAGCAAAUGGUGCCGGUGGUGGGGACACCUCCUUCAUCCCAGUGGGGCAGGAGGAACACAGGUCCAGGCCAGGGUGGGUGACUUAGCGAAGCCCUGUCUCCAAAAUUCCACAGAGGUGGCUCAGGGUGGAGCUCCCCUGAAUUCAGUCCCCAGGGCCACACAAGAAGAAGUGCCUUCCGUGCUGACCCUGUUUUGCUGCUGCUGGAGAGGGAACCCAGAGCUUCACACUUGCAAGGCAAGUGCCCCACCACUGAGAUACCCUGCCCUUUUUGAGACAUGGUCUUGCUGAAUUGUCCAGUUGUGAUGCUCCUGCCUCAGUGUCCUCGGUUGCUGGGGUUACAGGUGUGCACCACCACACCUGGCCCUCAUUCGGUCCACUUCAAAUGGGCUCCAUAUGUACCUGAUUACUUUUGGUUAGUCGUGGGGAAGCCAUUUAGGGAAAGCUGGCUGGGGGUAGAAAACAGCCCUUUUGGGGGUCUUUGGGGCCCACCUUCUCUGCCUCACUAUGGCUACAUCCAGGUGUCCAGCACCAGCCCAGGGAUAAGCAGGUGCCUUGGUUAAUAUUUAUCAAACCAAGUUCAAUUAAUGCUCCGGUAUCCAGGCCUCCUUCCCCAACUGGUGUGAGACCUACUUGCCAUGGGAGGCCCAGGUGACCUGCUGUAGACAGGGGACUCUGGGUCACCCCUCAAGACCCUUUCCUCUGCUGAUUUGCAUAUUCCCAUUUUCAAGAUGUGCAAACUGAGGUUUAGAGAAAGUAAAUGAAUUGCCCACUCUGUCUGGGAUUGGAAACUCCCACGCUGCUGCUCUUAACUGGCAAGAGCACUGCCUCCCAGUGUCACAUUAGGUGGGGACCAACACUGUGCCACCCCAAUCACAGUAGCUGCAGGAUGUAGAGCUGUGCCCUGGGACACACAGGACUGACUGGGGGCCCAAUCUCCUGUGUUUAGAUGUUGUGCACCUCAGGGCGAAACAGGCCAGAAGGCGAGAGGGCUGUGGGGCCCCUGAUGGAGGCAGGUGUGAGGAAGCACAGGGUUGAGCUGGCCACCACUCUGACUGGCACAGCAAGAGCCAACCUGAUCUGUGAAUGUCACGGGCAGUGGAGGUGUUGGCCCUGUCUGGUAUUAAUGGCGGAGCAGAUGGUGGACUUGACCUGGUCUGCCUUCUAGAACAUCUUCCCUCCUGUUGCCUAGAUAAUGCACAGGGUGACUGACCAUCCCCGGUUACCUGAGUUUCCUGAAGCUUUGGAAUUUCAACAGAAAGUCCAGCAAACCCGAGACAGACACCCUGAGCCUGGGCCAUGCAGGGCCUUAUCAGGGACCCCCAGCAGCUGCCAGGAGGGCGGCCUGUUCACCCACUCCCUAAAGCUAAGUUCAAGGGGUGAAUGAUGUUAUGGUGCAGGAAUGUUCAGAGGUGAAAUGGUUAGAACUGUAACCUAAUCAGGGGACUGAUGGUUGGUUCUGUUGGAUUGUCUGAAUGGAUCAUUGGGUGGUGACUGUAGGCAGGAGGGUGUGGCUGGAGGGCGUGGGUCAUUGGGUGCCCUUGGGGGUUGGGUUUUGUCCCUGGCUCCUCACCUGCUCUGCUUCCAGGUGGCCUCUCCACACUCCAUCACGUUCUGCCUCAGCUCAGCCCCAGAGCAGCAGCCACGGAUCAUAAACUAAACCUCUGAAACUGAGCCCCAGAUAAAAUUUUUCUCCUCUAAGUUGUCACAGCAGUGAAAAGAUAAAAACAAAUGGUAUCCUCUCCAAAAUUUAUGUCCACCUAGAACCUCAGAAUAUGAACUUUUUUGGGGAAAAAUAAGUGUUAUCCUGGGUGUAAUUAGUUACAUUAAAUUGAGGUCAUAGCCAGAUGCGGUGGCACACACCUGUAAUCCCAGCAGCUCAGGAGGCUGAGGCAGGAGGAUCACAAGUUCAAAGCCAGACUAGCAACUUAGCGAGAACUGUUUCUAAAUAAAAUAUACAAAGGGCUGGGGAUGUGGCUCUGUGGGGUCAAUACCUGGAAUUAAAAAAACAUGAGGUCAUAAGGUGGGCGCGGUGUUUGUGCCUGUCAUUCCCAGCUACUCCAGAGACUGAGGCAGGAGGAUCACAAGUUUGAGGCCAGCCUAGGCAACUUAGUGAGACCCUGUCCAAAAAUAAAAAGGACCGACAGUGUCGCACUGUGGUUAAGUGUCCCUGGGUUCAAUCCCCAGUACCAAAAAUAAAUAUAAAUGAAAUAAGAUUCCAGUGGUCCUGAAUCCAACGAUGGGUGUUCUUAAAAGAAGACACAUAGAGGGGUCACUUGGAUACAGUCAGGGGUGGGUCCGUGCAGCCACAAUCCCAAGGCUGCCUGGACCCCAGGAGCUGGAAGUCAGGAGGGAGCUCCCUGGGAGGGGGGAAGGUGGCCCUGUGGAAGCUUGUGCUGGUGGCCUGCCAUUGCCUGCCAAGAGGAAAGAGCUGAGCAAGUCACUGCUGCUGGCACCUGGGCAUUCAGCGGGCCCCAGCUACAGAGUGGCCAGGGGCCCAGUCUCGCCACCCCCCAAGCAGACGUCCUCCGAGAGGAUGAGAAGACCUGGUCAGCACCUCACGGUCUGGGUCAGGUUGGGAGCAGUGGACAGCAGGAGUAAGUGACUCACGCCCAAGGUUGACGCUCAUGACAUGGUGUUUUCCUGAAGCCGCUCCAGGGACAAAGGGCCGAGUGCACUCCCAGCAGGGCAAAAAGAGGCAGGGAGCCUCUGCCCUUGUCGUCACCCUUCGCCAGGUGCCUCAGCCAUGUCCACUCAAAGACAGAGUAGGCCUGGCCUGGCCUGCCAGAUGGACCUGCUCACAGGAAGCCAUCCAAAGGGGCUGCCCAUGCACAGGAGGAGGGAGCAGAGUCCCUGGCUGACCUGAACUGGCGUCCCCGGCCCUCCAGCCCACUGGACACCAGUUCUGAGCUCCCCUCAGUGUCCCCACUCCAGCUGUUCCCUGCUCCUUGGCCAUGCAGGCCGCAGUCCUGGCAGGCCGAGCACCGGGCUGGAGGCAGCAGGCACCCCUGGAGACGAGGCUGCCAGCCCAGCUCCAGUGUCUGGAGGGCACCCGAGGAGAGCAGGCCUGCUGGUCCACCCCGCACACCACCCAACGUGAGGCAAGCCCUCAGGAGCUGGGCCCAGGAGCCGAGCAGGGGCCACUUGGCCUGCCUUUCCUGUAGGCAGGGCAUCCAGAGGACAGGUGCCUCUCCGCUGUGCCCUCUGGGUAAAUGCAUGUGUGUCUGGUGUGGCCUGGGGCCGAAGGCCCAUGUGCUACAGGUGGUCCUGGGACUACUCUCUGCAGCACGGGCUCCCACCAUGGUGCCUGACCACACUCCCACACACAGGGCCGCCUCAUGUUGGCCUUGAACUGCCAGAACCGUGAGUGAAGUAACCCUUCCCUCGUGGUCACCCUGUGCUGGGGGUUUUGUCACGGCAGCACAAAGCUGGCCGCCGGUGUGCCCUCAGCCUGUGCAGGCGAGCUGGUGGUCUGGUGAACCCGUGUGAGAUGGACUGUGCUGGGUGAAGCCCGGGACUGCGGCUCUGCGAGCCUCGCCCGGCUCAGGCACGGGCCGCCUGGGGGCCGGCUGCUUCCCGGAGCAGCAGUGUCCUGGCUGAUGCUGGAGCCCGCUGGGAGGUGGCUUUUUCUGGUGAUGUGUCCUUGGCUGUUGCCCUGGUGACCUGGCACAGUGAUGCUGAGGAAUCCAAAAAGUGACGAGGUCUCCCUGUGUCUCCUGUCACUGAGGCCAGCUGUGGAGGGAAGCCCAUAGUGGACAAGGUGCUCAGAACACAGGGAAAGUGACGGGCCUGUUCCCCAGGUGUCUCCUGCCCCAACACCCAUCCCGAGGCCAGCUCUGUGUGAGCCUGGUGGUGCUGACCUGGCACCUAGGCCCAGGCAAGGGAUGGCCACAGGCCACCAGCAAGGGGACAUGAAGGAAAAGUCAGUCCUUCAAAUCCGUGGUGGCCACAGACUCUGCCUCUCCUCCCAUCAAAGACACUGUUUCUAUGCUGAAGACCGCGUUCCAUCCCCAGCACUGGACAAAAGACAGGGGCCAAGCGCUGGGUGGUGGCUCAGCGGUAGAGCGCUUGCCCAGCACGUGCGAGGCCCUGGGUUCCAUCCUCAGCACCACGUGAAGUUAAUAAAAUAAAGGUGCUGUGUCCACCUACACCUGAAAAUAAGUAGAUAAAUAAAAAGACCAGCAAUGCACACAUGUGCUCCUGUCUCUGGACACACAAUGGUCCGUGCCACCCUGGGACCCUGCCAGCAAGAGGCCGGCACCCAAUGGUGGGCACCCAAUGUGGGCCCUUCCCUGGGGGCCUCUAGAACCAUGAGCCGAAAUAAG
rnacentral:lncRNA from 1 species